rnacentral:tRNA from 1 species
GGAUAAAAGUUUUAUAACGUUUAAUUUGCAUUUAAAAAACACUGAUAAUCAGUUUAUCUUA